AAGGCCUCAAUUUUUCUAUAACAACCCUCUUCUUUCUUUCGUCCAAUUUGUCAUUGGGCCUUACACGGAUGAUCUUGGAAAUGUGCUGCCCUAUGCUGUGGAAGGUGUUGGAGUUCCUGUUGACCCACUUGCUUUUGCAGGGCUGCUAGGGAUGGUGGUUACUUCUUUGAACUUGCUGCCUUGUGGAAGACUGGAAGGAGGUCGCAUAGCACAAGCCAUGUUUGGUAGAAGCACUGCCGCGGUGUUAUCCUUCGCCACUUCGUUAUUGCUCGGUAUCGGUGGCCUGAGUGGUAGUGUCCUGUGUUUGGCAUGGGGGUUAUUUGCAACCUUCCUAAGAGGUGGGGAAGAAAUACCAGCAAAGGAUGAGAUUUCUCCUUUGGGGGAAAGCAGGUUUGCCUGGGGUAUUGUCCUUGGCCUUAUUUGUCUACUCACACUUUUCCCCAACGGUGGAGGCACUUUCUCCAGCUCAUUCCUCAGUGGUCCCUUUUCAGGGGCGAUAUGUAAAUGGCUUACUGUAAUUCUGUAAUUAAAUGUAUGUAAUUAUUGCUGGAAAAAAAAGUAUGUAAUUAUUAUGUAUUUAUGUCAUUCACUAGAGUGGUAGUUUUACUCCUUAGCUCUCACCUUUUUUCAACCAGCAAUAGAUUACAAGGUGGUUCCCAAGCA